AAGUCUUAUACUAAGAAUUGCUUUCGAAGCUUACAAACGAACUAGAACUUAUUUGGUUAUCAUAUUGCUUUGGGGAAAGUCUCCGGUCAAAAGCGGAAACGUAUUGAGUUCAUUCUACUCUUUGAGUUACUGAAAUUACGACUUGGUUAUGAAAUUAGUGAUUCAAUGACAUGCAGUGAUGAAGACGUUUUUGACUGUUUAUUUUAUGUUGCUUCCUUUGUAUAACGAAGCCUGUGACUAUCGUUUACGAUUUUUACUGUUAUCGUUAGAUAAAGCAUAAUUUAAUCAACAGAAUUAUUUUCUUUCGACUUUAGUUGAUCAUUGCUUGGAAGCGGUUGUCUAAUUUUGUUUCCUAUAAGUAGUGUUUUCAUUGACUUCGUUCUUUCGGGAAUAAGUUUUCGACGUUGAGUGUUCAUUGAACGCACUCAGACGAUAGUUAUGCAAUUGCCUCGUAGAUAUUAUACUUGUAUUAUAUCUCUUGGUACCACAAUGGAGCUUACUUGGUAUAAGACU
rnacentral:RNase_MRP_RNA from 2 species